rnacentral:rRNA from 1 species
ACGUAGGGGGCAAGCGUUAUCCGGAAUUACUGGGUGUAAAGGGAGCGUAGGCGGCAUGGUAAGCCAGAUGUGAAAGCCCGGAGCUUAACUCCGAGGAUUGCAUUUGGAACUAUCAAGCUAGAGUACAGGAGAGGAAAGCGGAAUUCCUAGUGUAGCGGUGAAAUGCGUAGAUAUUAGGAAGAACACCGGUGGCGAAGGCGGCUUUCUGGACUGAAACUGACGCUGAGGCUCGAAAGCGUGGGGAGCAAACAG